AUAAGAAAAGCCAGUGCUCACUACAAUUGGAAUGAUACAGAGAAGAUUAGCAUAGCCCCUGUACAAGGAUGACACACAAAUUAGUGAAAUGUUCCAUAUUUUG